rnacentral:miRNA from 1 species
CCGUUACAUUCUAAAAUUUUUCCC